rnacentral:rRNA from 1 species
CGGCGUGCUUAACACAUGCAAGUCGAGCGAAGCGCUUAAGAAGAUUCUUCGGAUGAAUCUUUGGUGACUGAGCGGCGGACGGGUGAGUAACGCGUGGGUAACCUGCCUCAUACAGGGGGAUAGCAGUUAGAAAUGACUGCUAAUACCGCAUAAGCGCACAGUGCUGCAUGGCACAGUGUGAAAAACUACCGGUGGUAUGAGAUGGACCCGCGUUGGAUUAGGCAGUUGGCGGGGUAACGGCCCACCAAACCGACGAUCCAUAGCCGGCCUGAGAGGGUGAACGGCCACAUUGGGACUGAGACACGGCCCAAACUCCUACGGGAGGCAGCAGUGGGGAAUAUUGCACAAUGGGGGAAACCCUGAUGCAGCGACGCCGCGUGAGUGAAGAAGUAAUUCGUUAUGUAAAGCUCUAUCAGCAGGGAAGAAAAUGACGGUACCUGACUAAGAAGCCCCGGCUAACUACGUG